GAUGAACGCUGGCGGCGUGCCUAAUACAUGCAAGUAGAACGCUGAAGGAGGAGCUUGCUCUUCUGGAUGAGUUGCGCACGGGUGAGUAACGCGUAGGUAACCUGCCUGGUAGCGGGGGAUAACUAUUGGAAACGAUAGCUAAUACCGCAUGACAACAGUUAUUGCAUGAUAACUGUUUAAAAGGGGCAACUGCUCCACUACCAGAUGGACCUGCGUUGUAUUAGCUAGUUGGUGAGGUAACGGCUCACCAAGGCGACGAUACCUAGCCGACCUGAGAAGGGGGUUCGGCACACUGGGACUGGGACACCGCCCAGACUUCUACCGGAAGGCGCAGUAGGGAAACUUCCGGAAUGGACGGAAGGCUGAACGAGCAACGCCGCGGGAGGGGAGAAGGGUCUCGGAUCGUAAAGCUCUGUUGAUAGGGAAGAACGAGUGUGGGAGUGGACAGUGCACGUUGUGACGGUAUCUAACCAGAAAGGCACGGCUAACUACGUG
rnacentral:rRNA from 1 species